rnacentral:rRNA from 1 species
GGUUCAGGAUGAACGCUAGCGACAGGCCUAACACAUGCAAGUCGAGGGGCAGCACAAGGAGCAAUCUGAGGUGGCGACCGGCGCACGGGUGAGUAACACGUAUGCAACCUGCCUGUAAGCGGGGAAUAACCCGUUGAAAGACGGACUAAUACCGCAUAAUACUAAAUUACUGCAUGGUAAUUUAUUUAAACAUUUAUGGCUUACAGAUGGGCAUGCGCAUGAUUAGCUAGUUGGAGAGGUAACGGCUCCCCAAGGCAACGAUCAUUAGGGGUUCUGAGAGGAAGGUCCCCCACACUGGUACUGAGACACGGACCAGACUCCUACGGGAGGCAGCAGUGAGGAAUAUUGGUCAAUGGACGAGAGUCUGAACCAGCCAAGUCGCGUGCAGGAAGAAUGUCCCUAUGGAUUGUAAACUGCUUUUGCAGGGGAAUAAAGUGCAUCACGUGUGAUGUUUUGUAUGUACUCUGCGAAUAAGGAUCGGCUAACUCCGUGCCAGCCGCUGC